rnacentral:rRNA from 1 species
UACGUAGGUGGCAAGCGUUGUCCGGAUUUACUGGGUGUAAAGGGCGUGUAGCCGGGUUGACAAGUCAGAUGUGAAAUCCUGCGGCUUAACCGCAGAACUGCAUUUGAAACUGUUGAUCUUGAGUACUGGAGAGGCAGACGGAAUUCCUAGUGUAGCGGUGAAAUGCAUAGAUAUCACACAGAACACCGAUUGCGAAGGCAUCUCACGAAUCCGCGAUUGACGCUGAUGCACGAAAGCGUGGGUAUCAAACAGG